GAUGAACGCUGGCGGCGUGCCUAAUACAUGCAAGUCGAGCGAACGGACGAGAAGCUUGCUUCUCUGAUGUUAGCGGCGGACGGGUGAGUAACACGUGGAUAACCUACCUAUAAGACUGGGAUAACUUCGGGAAACCGUAGCUAAUACCGGAUAAUAUUUUGAACCGCAUGGUUCAAAAGUGAAGGACGGUCUUGCUGUCACUUAUAGAUGGAUCCGCGCUGCAUUAGCUAGUUGGUAAGGUAACGGCUUACCAAGGCAACGAUGCAUAGCCGACCUGAGAGGGUGAUCGGCCACACUGGAACUGAGACACGGUCCAGACUCCUACGGGAGGCAGCAGUAGGGAAUCUUCCGCAAUGGGCGAAAGCCUGACGGAGCAACGCCGCGUGAGUGAUGAAGGUCUUCGGAUCGUAAAACUCUGUUAUUAGGGAAGAACAUAUGUGUAAGUAACUGUGCACAUCUUGACGGUACCUAAUCAGAAAGCCACGGCUAACUACGUGCCAGCAGCCGCGGUAAUACGUAGGUGGCAAGCGUUAUCCGGAAUUAUUGGGCGUAAAGCGCGCGUAGGCGGUUUUUUAGUCUGAUGUGAAAGCCCACGGCUCAACCGUGGAGGGUCAUUGGAAACUGGAAAACUUGAGUGCAGAAGAGGAAAGUGGAAUUCCAUGUGUAGCGGUGAAAUGCGCAGAGAUACGGAGGAACACCAGUGGCGAAGGCGACUUUCUGGUCUGUAACUGACGCUGAUGUGCGAAAGCGUGGGGAUCAAACAGGAUUAGAUACCCUGGUAGUCCACGCCGUAAACGAUGAGUGCUAAGUGUUAGGGGGUUUCCGCCCCUUAGUGCUGCAGCUAACGCAUGAAGCACUCCGCCUGGGGAGUACGACCGCAAGGUUGAAACUCAAAGGAAUUGACGGGGACCCGCACAAGCGGUGGAGCAUGUGGUUUAAUUCGAAGCAACGCGAAGAACCUUACCAAAUCUUGACAUCCUUUGACAACUCUAGAGAUAGAGCCUUCCCCUUCGGGGGACAAAGUGACAGGUGGUGCAUGGUUGUCGUCAGCUCGUGUCGUGAGAUGUUGGGUUAAGUCCCGCAACGAGCGCAACCCUUAAGCUUAGUUGCCAUCAUUAAGUUGGGCACUCUAAGUUGACUGCCGGUGACAAACCGGAGGAAGGUGGGGAUGGCGUCAAAUCAUCAUGCCCCUUAUGAUUUGGGCUACACACGUGCUACAAUGGACAAUACAAAGGGCAGCGAAACCGCGAGGUCAAGCAAAUCCCAUAAAGUAGUUCUCAGUUCGGAUUGUAGUCUGCAACUCGACUACAUGAAGCUGGAAUCGCUAGUAAUCGUAGAUCAGCAUGCUACGGUGAAUACGUUCCCGGGUCU
rnacentral:rRNA from 1 species